ACGAACGCUGGCGGCGUGCUUAACACAUGCCAGUCGAACGGAAAGGCCCCUUUGGGGGUCCUCGAGUGGCGAACGGGUGAGUAACACGUGAGUAACCUGCCCUUGACUUCGGGAUAACUUCAGGAAACUGGGGCUAAUACCGGAUAGGAAUCCUUGCUGCAUGGUGGGGGUUGGAAAGCUUCGGCGGUUUUGGAUGGACUCGCGGCUUAUCAGCUUGUUGGUGGGGUAGUGGCUUACCAAGGCUUUGACGGGUAGCCGGCCUGAGAGGGCGACCGGCCACAUUGGGACUGAGAUACGGCCCAGACUCCUACGGGAGGCAGCAGUGGGGAAUAUUGCACAAUGGGCGGAAGCCUGAUGCAGCAACGCCGCGUGCGGGAUGACGGCCUUCGGGUUGUAAACCGCUUUCAGCAGGGGCGAAGCUUGUGGUGACGGUACCUGCAGAAGAAGCACCGGCUAACUACGUG
rnacentral:rRNA from 1 species